AUGGCAGCCGUGGAAACUGGGGAAGUCGUCAAGGCGACAGCUCUCGCAAUCACAUCACCAGCCGACGACAUGAAGAGCGACGGCACCCAAGAGCUACAGUCGUCGCCGGCCAACCUCUCCCUGGAGGACGAUGAGGAUGACGAGGAGGAGGUCUUGAUCCGCAGCUUGGAGUACGACCUGUCGAUGCGUCUCAUCGUGGCGCACCAGAUCCAGACGCUCAAGCUGGACAUGAAGAUGGAAAUCGACAUCUACAGGUCCCUCCUCCGCGAUCACGACGGCGAGUGCGACAGGCUGGCGGCCCGUCGGACGUCGUCGGACGACGUCAAGGAGGAGGAGGAUGAGGACGACGGAUUCGCCGAUGCCAAGGAGGAGGAGGACGACGAGGACCUCGGAUUGGCCGAUGCCAAGGAGGAGGAGGAGGAGGAAGAGGAGACCACCGCGCUGAGGCAGUUCGGAGACAUGUACGCCAAAGCCAUCGAUGUGGACCGUCGCUUGGAAGAGUUCGACGAGAUCGUGCGGGUGCACUACGACCCCGACCUGGACAACGAGGCGCGCAGGGCCACCGUCGCGCGGCUGUGGCGCCGCCUGGAGAAGGAGCUCGACGACAGGGCCGAGACCGUCGUCUCCGGGGCAUUCAAGUACACGUUUGCACCACUCGAGCCAAGGCUUGGCUCAUCAACUUGUGCCUAG
rnacentral:rRNA from 1 species